UGCGCUCGCCUCGUCCUGAUGCCCUAGGAAGGCCCCCCCUUUCCACAAGUUGGGGCUGUACUACACGAGAGAUGAUCAAGGCUCCACUGUAGACAGAGCCUGGGAGAGAGAAAGAUGAGAAAUUCCCUUCUCUCCCGAGUCCUACUCUCCAGGUCCUUCCUGAGCCUUGGAGCCUCCCACCUAGAUCUCCGAUCCUGCCAGGUCCUCUCAUCAGUGAGUCAGGACUCCACAAGCCAGCUCCUCUCCCCAACCUGAGACCAAGAAGUCCCGACACCAGCAGUUGGCAUGGCUUCAUCUCCAGCAUCAUUUCUACUUCUUGUCAUCCCUGUCUCUGAGUCCUGGGCUCCAAGCCAGGGCGUUAUCCAGCACCAGGGCCCUCCCUCUACCACAAAUGGCCACGGUGGGGUUUACAGAAGGUUUACCCUUUGCAUACUCCAAACUCACUUGAAACAGGCCUUUUUCUGGCUUCCAUUGCACACAUAGGCGCUAACGUCCCCUCCCUGGCCUGGGGUUGCCAAACAGAAGGGGCAUGCUGACUCAGAGCUGGCCAAGCAGCCAGGUUCUGCCAGAAAUGAGGUAUGCCACGCCCUGCUCCAAGUGGUGACCUGUAGCACGGCAUUCUCCUUUUUCUUCUUCCUCUCUCACAGGGUGAGAGGCCCUUUGCUCUGCGCAACUAGUUAUAAGUAUUGUUUGUCGGGUGACUGUCUAUCUGGUGGUGGAGGGGGCGGGAGGCUGGGACAGGUAAGGCACAGCGAAUACAAAGUGACUGGACUAUGUCUCUCUACCCUCAACUUCUAGGGGCAGCCGUGGGAACCUCGUCCUGCCCAGAUGCCUCAUUACCCUACUCAGAACCUUCACAAAACCUCCUGAAACCCUGAUGACUCAUAGGACUCAGUGGCAGGCUUACUCUGGAGCACAAAGCGUCUGAGAUCUGUCCUGUUUAGGCAGAGUUCCAGGCAUGGUCCCUCCCCCAACCCCUGGCUGUCCCAGGGUCAAGUGUCUGUGCAAAGCAUCCAUGGGGAAUGAACUGAGUUGACUUUAAUGUGGACACUCACUGCUCACCUCCACCUACUCCAGCCCUAUCUGGAGUGAAUAGAAGAUUGUUUGUGUCGCCCCAGAAAAAGUGACAGGACAGAGGGACACGGUCCACCUGAGCUGGAGAGAGGAGUGUCCAAUCUAAAGAAGGCACUGAGACCCCCUGUUUGAAAACUGUUCUACUUUGUUUUUUUCAAUAAAUAUUUAUUAAAGACCUAUCAUCUACUGA